ensembl:snRNA U6 U6 spliceosomal RNA
GUCGUGCUUGCUUUACAUAUACUAAAAUUGGAAUGAUACAGAGACAAUUAGCAUGGUCCCUGAACAAGGAUGACAUACAAAUUCAUUAAGUGUUCCAUAUUUUA